UAAUCUCACUACAACCGCUUUUUUGUGGUUGCAUGUGGACUUGGAUGUUGCCGUGUAACAAACGGCUCGUCUGAAAUGCCUGAGUGUACCCUGCUUCGCGGCGUAUUCGGUGUGAUAAAUCUUCACCGGAGUUGACCUUCAGGGUCGCGUCUGCUUGACAUGGCUCUAUGCUUCCAACCGUCCUGACAAGACAAUCUUUGACA
rnacentral:misc_RNA from 1 species